rnacentral:snoRNA from 1 species
AUCCUUUUGUAGUUCAUAAGUGUGAUGAUUGGGUGUUCACGCUGUUGUGUGACAUGUGCCACCCUUAAACCUUAUUACGACGCUGGCACAUUACCCGUCUGAUG